rnacentral:rRNA from 1 species
AGAGGGUGCAAGCGUUAAUCGGAGUUACUGGGCGUAAAGGGCGCGUAGGCGGUUUAUUAAGUGAGAUGUGAAAUCCCUGGGCUUAACCUAGGAAAGUCAUCUUAGACUGGUCGACUGGAGUGCAGAAGAGGGUAGUGGAAUUUCCGGUGUAGCGGUGAAAUGCGUAGAGAUCGGAAGGAACAUCAGUGGCGAAGGCGGCUACCUGGACUGACACUGACGCUGAGGCGCGAAAGCGUGGGGAUCAAACAGG